CAUUGUGCAUUGUUUGUGAAAACACUUUCUCACAUAAUAGAAGACAUGAUCUUAAUAGACGCUAUAAAACACAACAUUAGACUGAAAUAGAAGGAAAACUGAAGCUGGUGCUUGGGUCUGAGUUACGGAAAGAAUAUGUGAUUAAGAAAAAGGAAGAAAUCAAAAGAAGACAAAAUAUAUUUGUUAAAAGUCUCAUUAAGGUGAAAAUCCGCCGUCUUGAGCAUCUUCUCCACUUGAAAGAUGUCCAAAUUGAUGGUCUUACUCGUUGCCUACAGCAAGCUGAACAGAGAUGAAAGGCCUUCGCCCUCUCUUCCACUCCAAGCUUGUCAUGACAAACUAGUCAAAGUGUUUCUUUUUUUCAGAUAUGGUUUAAAAAAUUAAUAAUGAAAAUUAA